GGUCCUGUUUCACUACCCGCCUCCUGUAUGCAUUCUCUCUCGUUUGAUGUGUCCAAGUACAUCAUCCUCUGAGACUUGCUGCUGCUGCUGCUAAGGCACUUCAGUCAUGUCCGACUGUGUGCGACCCCAUAGACGGCAGCCCACCAGGCUCCGCCGUCCCUGAAAUUCUCCAGGCAAGAACACUGGAGUGGGUUGCCAUUGCCUUCUCCAGUGCAUGAAAGUGAAAAGUGAAAGUGAAGUCGCUCAGUCGUGUCUGACUCUUAGCGACCCCAUGGACUGCAGCCUACCAGGCACCUCCAUCCAUAGGAUUUUCCAGCCACGCCAAAAUCAGCAUGUGGGAUCUUAGUUCCCAGACCAGGGAUGGAGCUCACCCUGCAGUGGAAGUGCAGUCUUAACCACUAAACCCCCAGGGAAGUCCAAAGU
ensembl:lncRNA